GUAGGUGGCAAGCGUUGUCCGGAAUUAUUGGGCGUAAAGCGCGCGCAGGCGGUUCUUUAAGUCUGAUGUGAAAGCCCACGGCUCAACCGUGGAGGGUCAUUGGAAACUGGAGAACUUGAGUACAGAAGAGGAAAGCGGAAUUCCACGUGUAGCGGUGAAAUGCGUAGAGAUGUGGAGGAACACCAGUGGCGAAGGCGGCUUUCUGGUCUGUGACUGACGCUGAGGCGCGAAAGCGUGGGGAGCAAACAGGAUUAGAUACCCUGGUAGUCCACGCCGUAAACGAUGAGUGCUAAGUGUUAGGGGGGUUUUCCGCCCCCCUUAGUUCUGCAGCUAACGCAUUAAGCACUCCGCCUGGGGAGUACGGCCGCAAGGCUG
rnacentral:rRNA from 1 species